rnacentral:rRNA from 1 species
AUGCAUGAAAUACCUUCCAUUUCCAGCCGGAGCCGGCCAACCGGGCGACGUCUCUCGUUACAGUUCACACCCAUCUCCGAGGCUCCCACCUACCAACCCCCGCCCCCUGCCACCAUCAGCAAGCACACCACCAUGAUGGCCGCCGCCGGCGCUGUGACCAGGAGGAGCAUGCCCUUGUUCGACGGCAGCUUGUUCCUUGGCGACGUCGACGUGCUCUUCCCACCAGGAACUGAAAGCGCAUCGUCAUCUUGCAUGGAUCUCCGCCAACCGGCCGUGUUCCCCAGGAACGAGAUCCGGAUCAGCUGCCGGUCGCCGGCGAGCGAGAGGUGCCCUCCGCUGGCCGUGCUGCAGGUGAUCAGCGCCUACUCUUUGCGCUGCAAGCUCCAGGCCAAAGCAGCGGAUCUCCAUCCCACAUCCCUCCUGCACAGGCUCCACGACUCCUGCUGGAAGAAGGGCAUGACUGCUGUGGUGGAGGCCGGAGAGGAGGAAUUACACCUCAUUGCGAUGCAAAGCAAGCAGGUGAAAGGUCUAGCUUGCUUCUGGUGUUGGUCUGCACCAAUGGGGCUAUACACGGCUUGCCAUCAGAUGCUUAAUAAGCGAUGUCUAGCCCUCGUGCUUGACCUUGAUGAAACCGUUGUGUUUUCUAACACAGCGGAAAUGUUCGAAAGACGUUUGGACAAGAUUAUGUCAGGCUUGGACGAUUCGGAGCUUGAUGCUGCUAACGAAUCAGCAAUGUCCGACGAGUUCAAUCGGACUUUUAACGAUAAACAGUUGCUUGUCGAUUUCAACGAAACAGGUCUAGUUCCAAAUAAGCUGGUUUAUGCAAGCCAAAUAAACAAAGUCCAGAAGAACCACACCUGUGCUAGUAGCAGCAUGCUCACAUCACAUGAUCCAAGCACUGGUUAUUUUGUAAACAUAAGGCCUGGUUGGGAUGAUUUGAAGGGUUAUUUGAUUACUGCCGGUGGGCGCCAAAGAUUUAAAGUCUAUGUUUGCACAAUGGCCGGAAGAGAUUAUGCUCUUGAGAUAUGGAGACUGCUUGAUCCAGAAGGCCGUUUGAUCAGCCUAAAUGAGAUUUCACAACGUUUAAUAUGUGUGAGGCCAGAUUCCAAGAAGUCACUUGAGCUUGUGUUUCGAGAUAGCUUAUGUCAUCCAAGUAUGGCCAUGGUGCUUGAUGACCGUAGGGAUGUUUGGGAUGAGAGAGAUAAACGACGAGUUUUUGUAGCGCCACCUUACAAACCAUUAUUUGCCCCUGAAGACAAGGUAUUGGAUCUUCCAUACAACCCAGAUGUUAGUGACUACUUACAGUUAAAGCUGACAAUAAAAGUGGUGAAGUGGAGAGGAGCAAGAACCAAUGAGCAGCAAACACUCCUUAAAAAGCACCAUCUAGUAUGUGUAAUAGUUCCGACCGUUGGAGCGGACCCCUCCCUCGGCGAAUGUCAUCUUCUUCUCAUGUGCACUGCCCGACUCCCCAGGUUUGAUAGCCGCCUCGGGAUAACCCCGCUCCGCCCUCUGACCACCUCCUCUCAACUACCCUGUAGGUCUCCCCAACUUCUGUGUCGUUUCCUCCUCAUGUGCGACCCACCCGUCUCAUCCUUUGCCACCACCAGCUCGAUAGCAUCCUACACAAGGUCGGGUGGUCCCGACAAGGGGUUAGGGACAUCACAUGCUCCUCUUGCCAACCCGAUGACUCCUCCACAACCUCUCUUUAAUGCACCGACUUUUGGUGCUCCUGAUGCCAGCAAGGUGUUCAACCUUUUUGCCUGGAAGUCCAUAGACUAUUGGUAUCAUGAUCCUUCUCCGUGGCUGGGAGCAGCUAGAUCUGGUGGUGGUGAGCAUAGCGGGAGAGAUAUAAUGGUUGAUGUGAAGGAGAAAAGCCUCGGCUCGUACGCCCUUGACGAGGAGACCUCCUAUAUGCCGCUUACUGCGGCAGCUAGUCGUGGAUUCGCACAGGGGAGAGCUGACUUGGGCCGGCCCAUUGGCGGUAGCACGCAGAUAAAAAUCAACAAAUCAGUACACGGGCUGGGAAUCAAACCCGCGACCACCUACAAAUCUGGCCGAGCUGUUACCAACGCAACCAGCUCGCAUGAGUGA